rnacentral:lncRNA from 1 species
AGUUUGGUGUUUUGAUUUAAAGUUUUGAUUUAUUUCAUAAAGUUUAUGUUUUAUGCUUUUCAAAUGUUUAAAUGUGUUAGAUAUUUAUUUAGAAAGGUGUAAGAAAUAUUGGUGGGUGUGUAAGGGUUAAUUCCCUUUCACACACACUACUUGCAUGACAUUUAUGUCAUGCACCACUUGCAUGACUUUAUGUCUAAAACUACAAAUCAACACACACAUCACUCCUUUCACCUCUCCAAAACCGGCCACUCCCUCAAUGGGAGUACUUUUGGGGCUUUUAUGCAAUUACAUAAAGUUUUGAUACUUUUGUGUAUUUGCACUUUGGCCCAAAAGUUUACGUUUUUACGUUUAGGUCCAAAAAACGCUAAAGGACAAAUUGUUUUGCUCCUUUAAUGAACUUUUUGCAUUUGUUGAAAUUUUUGGGUUCUAGUUGUAAUUACAUGAAGUAGUGGACUUUUGUGUUUUUACAAAGUGACCCCAAAAGUUUAUGUUUUCGCAAUAUAGCCCAAAAGUUGAGGUUAUUGCAUUUUGGCCCAAAUUAAAUUGAGAACAAAAUUGUUUUGUCUCUUUAAAUGAGAAUUGGAUUUUCAUUUCAUUUAGCUUCAUUUAAAUCAAUUCUAUGGAUACAAAAACCAAAUGAAAAUGUUGCAUUCAAGUUUAAUUAGUUAAAGCGUUAAUUAAUUAAAGGGUGAUUAUGAACCUAAGCCUAAGAUAAUUGAGCUAUGUGAAAGGCCGUUUCAAAUUUGUUUGAACCAUGGGAAUGUGUAGAUUAGAUUUUGGUUGUAAUUUGAUUUGAUCAAAUGUUGUAAAAGAGCAUAAGCUCUUCUUUACUUUAAAGUAAUUUGUUUUAUUCAAAUGUUGUAAAGAGCAUAAGCUCAUCUUUACUUUGAAGUACUCCUUUCUUGUAUUAUUUGAUAUGCAUGAAAAUGGAGUAGAGGGUCCAACGCUCCUAAGACAACACGCCUUAAUGUGAUUAAACGCGUAACUAAAAUCAAUCACCAUCCCUAGAUUGAGAUUCAACACUAGGCUCGUGUUGAAUCUAAACAAAGGUUCAUAGUCAUCCUAAGGUCCUAAGGCAACUAUAUAGUCCAUCAAAUGAAUGCAAAGUUUAUGUUAGUAGUAUCAUAUACUCUUGCUUUAAAACCGUUUUAUAAGCAUAGUGGGAGUAUUAUAUACAACUAAAUUCAAUCAUAUGGAUCAAUAGUUGUAAUAGGAUCAAAAUUGUUUUAAUAAAGAUUAAAAUGAAUAUUUAUAUGUGAUGAGACCUAAAAACCCUCAACCAAACCAUUAUUAAGUUGAGAAGCGUGAGAGUGCUUUGAACACUCUUUCGUGGCCUUCCACCGUGGUAGGCUCCGAUCGUUUGUGACUCGUACACCAGCUUCACCCUAUCAUGGGGAAGUACAAAGUGCGUGCUUACACUCAGGAGGAGUCUAUAUGCAUACUUGAUGUUGUGAAAGGUAGGCAAUGAGAAUGAUCAAUAUCAUAUCAUUGUGAGGUUGUUCUUGAACCCCUACCCGAACUUGCAUGGUGGGAAUGACUUAACUAAGUGCAAUGGAGCCAAUAUCAUAUCAUUGUGAGGUUACAUUCUCUAGAGGCCAAAUAAGAUGGGUACUUGCAAGAGAUGCAAAUGAGUAAGCGUACUCUCUCAUUAUUAUUAAUGCUAACCAAUAUCAUAUCAUUGUGAGGUGGGCUUGGUAGUAGUGAGUCUCCCAUAUCCUACUAAGAGUUUCCUCCAAAACUCUCGAAUUCCAAUGAGGGAUAUGGAAUUUGCCAAAAAUAGUGGGUGGUGCUAUUUGAUUUAAAGACCCAGAUCAAAUGGCUUAAAAUCAAUCGAUUUAUAUUCGUUAUGUAUUUAUUUACCAAUAUAUUUGCAAACGCUAUCCAACACUUGACAAAUAAAAGCCGAAAGCUUUAGUUUCCAGAC